rnacentral:lncRNA from 1 species
UAGGUCGUAGGGCAGUUCUAUUUUUGGUUUUUUGAGGAACCUCCAUACUGUUUUCCAGAGUGGCUGCACCAGCUUGCAUUCCCAUAACUGCAUCUGCAAUAUUACAAAGAAGAAAAACUUAAAUGCACGUAAAUGGCUUGCUGAAGAAAGAAACAGCUUCAUGUCAAGGCAACUUGGAAGUUGGAAGCUGAAGGAAACUGUUAUGUAAAUAAAGAAGACUGAUAAAACAGAAGAAAAUGGGGCAAGUAAAGACACCUUGUUCAGGAAAAAAAAAAAACCAAGAAGGCAUACAAUAAAAAUUACUUCUUUAAACA